rnacentral:tRNA from 1 species
GCCUGACUGGCUCAGCGGGUUGAGCGUCUGCCUUCCACUCAGGUCAUGGUCCCAGGGUCCUAGGAUCGAGUCCUGCGUCAGGCU